AGUGCUUUGCUCCACCCAACUCGUAACCAAUUAGAAAGAUGGGAAGGAGUUGGCAAAGCAAGGUUCUGA
ensembl:miRNA mir-8197 miscRNA